rnacentral:rRNA from 2 species
UCUUCCACAAUGGACGAAAGUCUGAUGGAGCAACGCCGCGUGAGUGAAGAAGGGUUUCGGCUCGUAAAACUCUGUUGUUAAAGAAGAACAUAUCUGAGAGUAACUGUUCAGGUAUUGACGGUAUUUAACCAGAAAGCCACGGCUAACUACGUGCCAGCAGCCGCGGUAAUACGUAGGUGGCAAGCGUUGUCCGGAUUUAUUGGGCGUAAAGCGAGCGCAGGCGGUUUUUUAAGUCUGAUGUGAAAGCCUUCGGCUCAACCGAAGAAGUGCAUCGGAAACUGGGAAACUUGAGUGCAGAAGAGGACAGUGGAACUCCAUGUGUAGCGGUGAAAUGCGUAGAUAUAUGGAAGAACACCAGUGGCGAAGGCGGCUGUCUGGUCUGUAACUGACGCUGAGGCUCGAAAGUAUGGGUAGCAAACAGGAUUAGAUACCCUGGUAGUCCAUACCGUAAACGAUGAAUGCUAAGUGUUGGAGGGUUUCCGCCCUUCAGUGCUGCAGCUAACGCAUUAAGCAUUCCGCCUGGGGAGUACGGCCGCAAGGCUGAAACUCAAAGGAAUUGACGGGGGCCCGCACAAGCGGUGGAGCAUGUGGUUUAAUUCGAAGCUACGCGAAGAACCUUACCAGGUCUUGACAUACUAUGCAAAUCUAAGAGAUUAGACGUUCCCUUCGGGGACAUGGAUACAGGUGGUGCAUGGUUGUCGUCAGCUCGUGUCGUGAGAUGUUGGGUUAAGUCCCGCAACGAGCGCAACCCUUAUUAUCAGUUGCCAGCAUUAAGUUGGGCACUCUGGUGAGACUGCCGGUGACAAACCGGAGGAAGGUGGGGAUGACGUCAAAUCAUCAUGCCCCUUAUGACCUGGGGCUACACACGUGCUACAAUGGAUGGUACAACGAGUUGCGAACUCGCGAGAGUAAGCUAAUCUCUUAAAGCCAUUCUCAGUUCGGAUUGUAGGCUGCAACU